ACGGGUGAGUAAUACAUCGGAACGUAUCCUGGAGUGGGGGAUAGCCCGGCGAAAGCCGGAUUAAUACCGCAUACGCUCUGAGGAGGAAAGCGGGGGACCUUCGGGCCUCGCGCUCAAGGGGCGGCCGAUGGCGGAUUAGGUAGUUGGUGGGGUAAAGGCCUACCAAGCCGACGAUCCGUAGCUGGUCUGAGAGGACGACCAGCCACACUGGGACUGAGACACGGCCCAGACUCCUACGGGAGGCAGCAGUGGGGAAUUUUGGACAAUGGGGGCAACCCUGAUCCAGCAAUGCCGCGUGUGUGAAGAAGGCCUUCGGGUUGUAAAGCACUUUUGUCCGGAAAGAAAUCAUCGGGGCCAAUACCCCUGGUGGAUGACGGUACCGGAAGAAUAAGCACCGGCUAACUACGUGCCAGCAGCCGCGGUAAUACGUAGGGUGCGAGCGUUAAUCGGAAUUACUGGGCGUAAAGCGUGCGCAGGCGGUGCUGUAAGACCGAUGUGAAAUCCCCGGGCUUAACCUGGGAACUGCAUUGGUGACUGCAGCGCUGGAGUAUGGGCAGAGGGGGUGGAAUUCUACGU
rnacentral:rRNA from 1 species